rnacentral:rRNA from 2 species
GCAUAUCAAUAAGCGGAGGAAAAGAAACCAACAGGGAUUGCUCUAGUAACGGCGAGUGAAGCAGCAAUAGCUCAAAUUUGAAAUCUGGCGUCUUCGACGUCCGAGUUGUAAUUUGUAGAGGAUGCUUCUGAGUAACCACCGACCUAAGUUCCUUGGAACAGGACGUCAUAGAGGGUGAGAAUCCCGUAUGCGGUCGGAAAGGUGCUCUAUACGUAGCUCCUUCGACGAGUCGAGUUGUUUGGGAAUGCAGCUCUAAAUGGGAGGUAAAUUUCUUCUAAAGCUAAAUAUUGGCCAGAGACCGAUAGCGCACAAGUAGAGUGAUCGAAAGAUGAAAAGCACUUUGGAAAGAGAGUUAAAAAGCACGUGAAAUUGUUAAAAGGGAAGGGAUUGCAACCAGACUUGCUCGCGGUGUUCCGCCGGUCUUCUGACCGGUCUACUCGCCGCGUUGCAGGCCAGCAUCGUCUGGUGCCGCUGGAUAAGACUUGAGGAAUGUAGCUCCCUCGGGAGUGUUAUAGCCUCUUGUGAUGCAGCGAGCGCCGGGCGAGGUCCGCGCUCGGCU